GACGAACGCUGGCGGCGUGCUUAACACAUGCAAGUCGAACGGAAAGGCCCUGCUUUUGUGGGGUGCUCGAGUGGCGAACGGGUGAGUAACACGUGAGUAACCUGCCCUUGACUUUGGGAUAACUUCAGGAAACUGGGGCUAAUACCGGAUAGGAGCUCCUGCUGCAUGGUGGGGGUUGGAAAGUUUCGGCGGUUGGGGAUGGACUCGCGGCUUAUCAGCUUGUUGGUGGGGUAGUGGCUUACCAAGGCUUUGACGGGUAGCCGGCCUGAGAGGGUGACCGGCCACAUUGGGACUGAGAUACGGCCCAGACUCCUACGGGAGGCAGCAGUGGGGAAUAUUGCACAAUGGGCGGAAGCCUGAUGCAGCAACGCCGCGUGCGGGAUGACGGCCUUCGGGUUGUAAACCGCUUUCGCUUGUGACGAAGCGUGAGUGACGGUAAUGGGUAAAGAAGCACCAGCUAACUACGUG
rnacentral:rRNA from 1 species